ensembl:lncRNA
GAAUGAGGUCUGAAGCACAGUAUUUGACUUCAGCAAAGGGUGACCUGUCUAGCAAAUCUGAAAGCUGUCCAAAGCCACAGAAAGAAACAAAAGGGGAGGAUUUCACAUUUCUUUCCUUGGCUAAGAAAACCCCAUUUGCAUCAUCUAGCCUACUUAAGAACAGGAGUGGAUCUAGAGAAAUUUUCUUAGGUCUUAGUUACUGAGCAAUUUGCAGAAAAACAACUUACAAAUCUGUUAUCUAACAAUAAACACACGUUUCGUGUUGUUUGGGGGGGAGGUUGUCUUGAUUUUUUUGUAACUACCUUUCAUUAGUUACUUAAGCUAGUAAAGUGAUAAAUGACUGUGGCUACAGGUAGCCUAAUAUUCUGAUUCUGAACCCUAGCAGGAUGAUAACACUCAAUACCAAUGUUUAAUCUGCAUAAACAACCAUAUUUUCCAUGGAACUGCAAUUAUUUGCAGAAUCUAUAAUGAGCAUGAAAUACAUGUUCAGGGCUUACCAUUUUAGUUGUAAAUUUCUCUCCAUUGCAUUCUUUAUUUGUUGUGUUUGUCUUCCAGUUUGAUCAGCAGAUCAUAAGAAGCACAUUACCACUUCCAAAACCAUUCAUCUCUGGAGCAAACUGUCCUGCAGCAGUUCGUAGAAGGGCUGCCAGCAGUGCCAGUAGCAUGGGUUACCUGAGACCAGGCACAGCCAGAGGACGACUGGGUGGGACAGCCAGAGAGAGGGCCAGUCUCAGCACCGAGGAGAAGCCUGAGAAUGGCAUCUCCACCUUGGCCUGCUGUUGUGGGGCAGCGUUCGAGGUUAUCCACUAACCCUACUAUAGCCCCACAGCUCCCAGCAGCUGCAGACACUGGCCCCCUCUCACUGGGAGCAGCAUGAGUGCCAGAGCAGAUGUGCUGGAGGUGCAGCUUGGUGAGAGCCCCCACAACUGCCGAACAUCUUAUGGACAGGCUGCCGCAUCCGCAUGCUGCAUAUGUUGCCUACCUGCAUGACGCCAUCAUCCACAUUGACACUGGGGCAGCACAUAUGCAGAGCGGUUGACCAUGGUCUUCAAGUCUCUGAGGCAGGAAGAGCUCACAGAGAAACGCCAAAAAGUGUGCAGUUGGACGUAGGGAGGUACAGUAUCUGGGGUACCACUUAGGAGGCAAGCAGGUGUGGUCAUAGGUGGUGAAAACAGCAGCGAUGGCAUCCUCCUCCAUCUCAGAAGACACGUCGUCAAGUGUGGCUUGUACAGGGGCAUAUGUCCUUUGACUGUAGACAGGUGCUGCGGAAGCUGCUUGUAGUGCGAGGUCGGUUGUUUGGGCCAGAUGCACAAAAGACGUGCAUGCAUGUGUAUGCGUGCUUACCACGUGAGUAUUGUAGGAUAAGAGUGAUGCUUGUUUAACUUUAUCUGUGUUAUUUGCUAAGCAAGAAGCUAGUCCCCCUGCUAUCUCUGAUAGCAAACUCUCAAGUGAUUUGAACUACAUCACUGGAGU